GCCAAGGAGUUAUCCUGCCACCAGUUAAGGAAACAAUUAAGAAAUUAGCAUUACAAUCUUCUGCCCUUCACAGCCUUGUUGGAAGUCCAGGAGAUCCAUUUCAUAUUCAAAGCUAUGAUGUGGACAGGAUUGGCUCACACAUGAAAGGUGCUGAAAUUGCCUCCUGUGAUUGGACACCUGCUGUGCCCAGCUCUACCCAUCCUUUUGAGAUCUGCCUGAAGAGGACUUUUGGGCUGUUCCAAUCCACAAGAGACAUGGUGAAGGAAGCUUCAUUAGCCUCUAGCACUGAUCUUCUUCAAAAUCUCUCUGCAACACAGCACUAUU